AUUGAACGCUGGCGGCAUGCUUUACACAUGCAAGUCGAACGGUAACAGGGAGCUUGCUCCGCUGACGAGUGGCGAACGGGUGAGUAAUAUAUCGGAACGUACCCAAGAGUGGGGGAUAACGUAGCGAAAGUUACGCUAAUACCGCAUACGAUCUAUGGAUGAAAGCAGGGGACCUUCGGGCCUUGUGCUCCUGGAGCGGC
rnacentral:rRNA from 1 species